AGCAUAAACUUUGAACAACUACAAAUCAUAGGAACCAUGGAGACAGCAAUGAAGCAACAAACAUGACCAAGGAAAGGAAUCCUAGCAGAAUAAGGGCUAAUCUUCUAAGUGCUUCUAAUGUGUAUGUAAAAGAAUCUGUGUACCAACAAGUGAUGCAAACUCUGGAGAUGAACCUCACCAACCUGGUUAAGCGCAACAGUGAACUAGAAAAUCAAAUGGCCAAACUAAUACAGAUCUGCCAGCAGGUUGAGG